UGAGCCACCGUGCCCGGCCAAGAGUCUUCUUUUCUUCCCUUUCUUACCUGAUUAACAGCUUUGUGGGCUCCACUAGAGUCGGAUCUUCUAGGAAGGCUUCUCUGGCACCUAUCAUCUCAAGCUAGUUGGGGUCCUUCUAUGAUUCCAUAUCCCGUUCCUCCACCCCAUGUCUAUUCCAUCACAGUCCUUAAUGUAUAGGGGUCCACAUGGCUACCUGUCAGUCUCUGCCACAUUGCCAUGAUCUCUAUGUCUCACUUAUGUUUGCACCCCCAACGCAUAGCAUAAGGGCCUGACACAUAGUAGGUGGUCAUCUCUUCAAUUUCCUACCAGGGGUUAACUAAGCUCUUUGCACAACGGUAAUCAGACAAAUGGCAGUCCCCAGCUCAUGGAGCAGACUUUCAUAUUGCAGGAUCCUGGGCCUCUUCCCAUCUAUCUCCUGGAAUCUGUGGAAGACUCUGGGAGUCUGAUGUCCCCCCGGCCAGGAAACAGAACCACUGAAUGAAAGGAUAUCACAUUUCUUCUUGGAUCCUCAUACAACCUUGUGAAGCAGGAUCUAUGAGGAACACACCCGUUUCAUCAUCAAGGAAAAUGAGACCCAGAGAGGUUAAAUGACCUGCUCAAAGUCAGUGAAUUGGCAGCAGAGUGUGGGUGAACCCAGGACUUUCAACUCUUGAUCCAUCACUUUGUUUGGGUUCUGGGUGUAGAGGACAAACUCUGGAGUUGAAAUCAUGGCUCUGGUAGGUACCAGCUCUAUGACCUUGGCCAAGUCACUUUCCCAACUCUUGAUUUCCUCAUCUGUAUAAUGGGCAUAAUUCUAAAUGUCUUUGUAGGGUUAUCUGGAAACAUCAAUGACAUGAUUCACAUAAAGAAAGCUCUUGAUAGUACAUGGUAAAGCUCUCAGGACACAGUUGCUGCUGCGUAUAAAACCCAAAUACUCCUUUGCAGGGUGCAGUGCAGAACCCGAAGGGAUCCAUGAUCUCAUGGCCAGAACAGCCUCCAGGAAGAAGAUGCACCGCUUCCUGAAACCGCACAUGCCUCCUUCCUCCUGGGAGCCCAAAUUCCAAGAAAUGCAGCUAAAAUUGGCCCUCAAACAGCUUUUGCAGAGCACGUCGCAGCUUUUUUUGGGCCUAGAGAGCCAGUUUCCAUGAUGAAAGUGGCACAGAAGGAGAGACCCAGCUAAAAACAGCCACCGCCCAGACUGGUGUUAACAGAAUGCAGCCUCCCCUGUUGUUUUGGGGUUUUGGACGCUUCGACUUCCGCAGCAGAUCUCCGCAUUGCCACUAGGUGGUAGUGUCGCAACGCCCGGCGGGGACCGCACCCCAGGACCCUGACGAAGGGGCUGGGAGUCGCUUCUGAAAAUCAAGCCCAUCAAAUACGCACCAGCUACAAAAUUCUCCACCAGGACCUUGCAGUGCCUCUGAGGUCUUCCCUCAAGCCUGCACUUCCUGAUGGAACCCUGUCCCUCGCAUGACUCCACUUCAAGGUGAUAUUCAAAGUCAUCGUCAACAUUUAAAAAGUAACAGACGUGUCCCUGGAGAUGGUGAUUGUGGACUGCGGGUCUGCUAGUGCUGAGCAUCAAAGGCAGCUGUCUGCCCCUGGGUUUUCCUCUCCGCUGGUUUUCUGAAAGCUGUCUCCACCAUGAGCAGUCAUUGGGACUGACUUCCCUGGAGGUCAGCACUGGCUCCAAGGUCCAGGAAGGGCUGGGCUCUUUUGUUGGGAUCGAAGGAUCAAUGGGAAGACUCCAUCUUGGCCGGAUGUGCAGGUGAAGUGCUCCAGCUCUGAGGACCAACCCUGGAAGAGAAAACCUGCUCCCAUCUUGUGUACCGUCAACAUCUGGUUUGUUCCACUUUACAAAUGCACACAGUGCUGAAGGCUGCUACUGGCGCUGGGAUUCUCUGCAUCCGCCUCAAUAGCUGAAGCCUCCUUGGGACCCUUGGGUGAUGUAACAAGGAGGAGAAGAGAGACAGACACAUGGAGGGAGGCAGCCAUAUAGAACGGAGGAAGAGAUUGGAGUGAUGCUUCCACAAGCCAGAUGAUACCUGAGGCUACCAGAAGCUGGAAGAGAUAAGAAGACUUCUCUCCUGACACGGAAUCAACCCAAAUACCCAUGAAUGAUAGACCGGAUAAAGAAAAUGUGGUACAUAUACACCAUGCAAUACU